rnacentral:rRNA from 1 species
GACGAACGCUGGCGGCGUGCUUAACACAUGCAAGUCGAACGGAAAGGCCCUGCUUUUGUGGGGUGCUCGAGUGGCGAACGGGUGAGUAACACGUGAGUAACCUGCCCUUGACUUUGGGAUAACUUCAGGAAACUGAGGCUAAUACCGGAUAGGAGCUCCUGCUGCAUGGUGGGGGUUGGAAAGUUUCGGCGGUUGGGGAUGGACUCGCGGCUUAUCAGCUUGUUGGUGGGGUAGUGGCUUACCAAGGCUUUGACGGGUAGCCGGCCUGAGAGGGUGACCGGCCACAUUGGGACUGAGAUACGGCCCAGACUCCUACGGGAGGCAGCAGUGGGGAAUAUUGCACAAUGGGCGGAAGCCUGAUGCAGCAACGCCGCGUGCGGGAUGACGGCCUUCGGGUUGUAAACCGCUUUCGCCUGUGACGAAGCGUGAGUGACGGUAAUGGGUAAAGAAGCACCGGCUAACUACGUGCCAGCAGCCGCGGUGAUACGUAGGGUGCGAGCGUUGUCCGGAUUUAUUGGGCGUAAAGGGCUCGUAGGUGGUUGAUCGCGUCGGAAGUGUAAUCUUGGGGCUUAACCCUGAGCGUGCUUUCGAUACGGGUUGACUUGAGGAAGGUAGGGGAGAAUGGAAUUCCUGGUGGAGCGGUGGAAUGCGCAGAUAUCAGGAGGAACACCAGUGGCGAAGGCGGUUCUCUGGGCCUUUCCUGACGCUGAGGAGCGAAAGCGUGGGGAGCGAACAGGCUUAGAUACCCUGGUAGUCCACGCUGUAAACGGUGGGUACUAGGUGUGGGGUCCAUUCCACGGGUUCCGUGCCGUAGCUAACGCUUUAAGUACCCCGCCUGGGGAGUACGGCCGCAAGGCUAAAACUCAAAGGAAUUGACGGGGCCCCGCACAAGCGGCGGAGCAUGCGGAUUAAUUCGAUGCAACGCGUAGAACCUUACCUGGGUUUGACAUGGAUCGGGAGUGCUCAGAGAUGGGUGUGCCUCUUUUGGGGUCGGUUCACAGGUGGUGUAUGGCUGUCGUCAGCUCGUGUCGUGAGAUGUUGGGUUAAGUCCCGCAACGAGCGCAACCCUUGUUCACUGUUGCCAGCACGUUAUGGUGGGGACUCAGUGGAGACCGCCGGGGUCAACUCGGAGGAAGGUGGGGAUGACGUCAAGUCAUCAUGCCCCUUAUGUCCAGGGCUUCACGCAUGCUACAAUGGCUGGUACAGAGAGUGGCGAGCCUGUGAGGGUGAGCGAAUCUCGGAAAGCCGGUCUCAGUUCGGAUUGGGGUCUGCAACUCGACCUCAUGAAGUCGGAGUCGCUAGUAAUCGCAGAUCAGCAACGCUGCGGUGAAUACGUUCCCGGG